rnacentral:rRNA from 1 species
CGGGAAUUUUGGGCAAUGGGCGAAAGCCUGACCCAGCAACGCCGCGUGAGGGAUGAAGUAUUUCGGUAUGUAAACCUCGAAAGAAUGGGAAGAAUAAAUGACGGUACCAUUUAUAAGCUCCGGCUAACUACGUGCCAGCAGCCGCGGUAAUACGUAGGGAGCAAGCGUUGUUCGGAUUUACUGGGCGUAAAGGGCGCGUAGGCGGCGCGGUAAGUCACUUGUGAAAUCUCUGAGCUUAACUCAGAACGGCCAAGUGAUACUGCUGUGCUAGAGUGCGGAAGAGGCAACCGGAAUUCUUGGUGUAGCGGUGAAAUGCGUAGAUAUCAAGAGGAACACCUGAGGCGAAGGCGGGUUGCUGGGCCGACACUGACGCUGAUGCGCGAAAGCCAGGGGAGCAAACA